rnacentral:rRNA from 1 species
GACAGAGGGGGCAAGCGUUGCUCGGAAUUACUGGGCGUAAAGGGCUCGUAGGCGGCCAACUAAGUCAGACGUGAAAUCCCUCAGCUUAACUGGGGAACUGCGUCUGAUACUGGAUGGCUUGGAUUCGGGAGAGGAAUGCGGAAUUCCAGGUGUAGCGGUGAAAUGCGUAGAUAUCUGGAGGAACACCGGUGGCGAAGGCAAUCCCCUGGGCCUGCACUGACGCUCAUGCACGAAAGCGUGGGGAGCAAACAGG